GCGCACAGCUUGUGCCGUGCUGAGCUCAGCAUCCUGGCCAGCCUCCAUCCCAGCUGGAAGGAGGGGAUGAAAGCACCAGGUCACCAUGGCUUUUGUGUCGGAGCACGCUCACCCCGUGUUCUCAGAAUAGUCCCGUCCUAUCGGGCACAGGCACAGGUCGGUGUCACAGGAGCUGUGCCGCUGGUACAGGUUGUGGAAGGCGCCCUCUUCCACCUCCCAGGCUGCAUCCCUGUGGGAGGGAGCCGGGGACAGCUGAGCGCGGUGCAAGAGGAGGUGGUGGCAUGGGGGGUGCUGACCUGUCUGGGAUUUUGAUGCUGAGGCAAAACAUCUCUGCCUUGAAGGCCUGCAUGUCCUGGCAGAGCGGGCAGCAGAAGUGGUGCAGGGCAGCGCGCAGAGCUUGGCCCUGGGGAAGGCAGAACGUGAGCUGGGGGUCCGCGCGCGUUGCCCCAGAGCCGGGGAUGAUGCCAGGGCGGCAGGGUUGGGUGACGAUGCUGUUGUGGUCUGGAGGCAAUGCUGCCUACCUGCAUGCAGUGGCGGUGGAACUGCACGCUGGUGCAGGAGGGACAGAUGAGGGUGGUGUAGCUGGGGCGUCCCUCCACCGCCUCCAAGCAGAUGGCGCACUGGGGCUGUUCCCGUUGCAGCGGCUUCACCUGCUGCGUCGGACGGUGCUGCCAGCAGAAGGACCUGCAGGAUGGAUGGAGGUGGCCGCUCAGUGCCCUGCCCCAUUCCUCCUGCAGCCCUGCGGGUGCCCACACCCACCUGUACUCCCCGAAGAACUGGGAGACACAGCCGCGUUCUCUCCCGCAGGGGUAGUGGAAGGUGCGGGAGCAUCUGCGGCAAUGGCAGCGCACCGAGGCGCCCUGCUUCCGGCAGACGCAGCAUUUCUGGGGACAGCAGUGCGGUGCUGGGCGUCAGUGCUGUGCACCCACAGCGAUGGGACUUUUCGGACAGCCAGGGCUCUGCUGGCGUCUCCCAGCCAUGUGGCACAGGGACCGAGGUGGGGACACGGCGCCCUGUUCACCUUCUGUGCCACGCGCUGCAGCUCCUGCUCAACGCUGGGGAAGAGGAAUCCGAAGAAUCCUUCCUCGUCAGCACCGCGCUGGUACAGCCCGCUGGCGUGGUACUGCAGGAGGCAACAGGGACCUGUUACUGCAUGUGGGGUGCAGCGGCUGGCACAGGGCUGGGGGCCUGGGGUUGGGGCUCACCAGGCAGUUCUCAUAGAUUCAGAGCCUCUCUUGAUGGUACAUCUCUCCAUAGAUGUCGGGGUCGUGCUCUGUCCGCUGGCACAGCCUGCACCCUGCAGUGGGGACAAGGGCAUUAUCACCCCAAGCAUGUGA
rnacentral:lncRNA from 1 species